rnacentral:misc_RNA from 2 species
AGCAGCCGCGGUAAUUCCAGCUCCAAUAGCGUAUAUUAAAGUUGUUGCAGUUAAAAAGCUCGUAGUUGAACUUCAGGCCUGUCCAGACGGUCCGCCUUAAUUGGUGUGUACUGUCCUUGGGUGGGUCCUACCUUCUGGCGAAGCGGCAUGGCCUUAAUUGGUUGUGUCGGGGAACCAGGACUUUUACUGUGAAAAAAAUUAGAGUGUUCAAAGCAGGCAAAUAUGCUCGAAUACAUUAGCAUGGAAUAAUGGAAUAGGACGAUGGUUCUAUUUUGUUGGUUCUAGGACCGUUGUAAUGAUUAAUAGGGAUAGUUGGGGGCAUUAGUAUUCAAUUGUCAGAGGUGAAAUUCUUGGAUUUAUUGAAGACUAACUACUGCGAAAGCAUUUGCCAAGGAUGUUUUCAUUAAUCAAGAACGAAAGUUAGGGGAUCGAAGACGAUCAGAUACCGUCGUAGUCUUAACCAUAAACUAUGCCGACUAGGAAUCGGGCGAUGUUGACAAAAUGACUCGCUCGGCACCUC